UACGAAGGGUGCAAGCGUUAAUCGGAAUUACUGGGCGUAAAGCGCGCGUAGGUGGUUCAGUAAGUUGGAAGUGAAAUCCCCGGGCUCAACCUGGGAACUGCUUUCAAAACUGCUGAGCUAGAGUACGGUAGAGGGUGAUGGAAUUUCCUGUGUAGCGGUGAAAUGCGUAGAUAUAGGAAGGAACACCAGUGGCGAAGGCGACCACCUGGACUGAUACUGACACUGAGGUGCGAAAGCGUGGGGAGCAAACAGG
rnacentral:rRNA from 1 species